rnacentral:rRNA from 1 species
UACGUAGGGUGCGAGCGUUAAUCGGAAUUACUGGGCGUAAAGCGUGCGCAGGCGGUUCGUUAUGUCCGAUGUGAAAGCCCCGAGCUCAACUUGGGAAUGGCAUUGGAAACUGGCGGCUGAGUGUGGCAGAGGGGGUGGAAUUCCGACGUGUAGCAGUGAAAUGCGUAGAGAUGUGGAGGAACACCGAUGGCGAAGGCAGCCCCCUGGGCCAACACUGACGCUCAGGCACGAAAGCGUGGGGAGCAAACAGG